rnacentral:lncRNA from 1 species
AGGUCGCUACAGGCGUCGUCGUGUGGCCGUCGUGACAGAGGGUGAUAUUUUACGGUGCUAAUGCUUAAUAAUGGAAGGAAAGAUGCAUCAGUACUUUAACAAGUACUUGUACAUUUACAUCGAGUGAAACAUGAUUACUUUCUUCUUGAAAUAUGACAAACACAAACUCAAUCUAGGCUUUCUUCUUCUGAGCUGAAGAUGCAACCGAUGUUGUAGCAGUUAACGGGGCUGAGCAUGAGCAGAGACCACGCAAAACUGCAAUUACAGCAACCACGAUGAACGGAGUAUACAGCUGAAGCAGCCUCGGCGUUGCUUUUCCUGAGCCCAACAUGUCAACGAGUAUAGCGGACCGUAAUAAUUGCAGCCACCGUUAAAAAGGAACCGAGAAAAAUAAAUCUUCCACGAAAAUGGAGAAGAGGAUAAAGGUUAACUACCACAGGAGUGAUCUGCCAGCGACUGGAGAUUAACUACCUGUCGAGCGUCGACAAUUAGUCAUCGACGGAACCAGAAAAAAUAACUGGCGGUGAGGUAAUGCAUGAAAUUUGCUUAAAGAAUUAACCAAAUAUCCAAUUUUCAAUUUCACUAAAAAAACUCUCCAAGAUGAUAAUAUGAAAUGAGAAAUCUCGCCUGGUCAAUGAAGAAAGAAGCUAUGCUAUCACUUGAUCACUUGAAUGGAUCUUGAAGCGAGCAGGAAGAAAGGGCAAACGCAGGACCAAGAUGGGCACGUACCAAGUAGGUGAGCAUGUCGACCCCCGCCAUGAGGGAGGUGGUGGCCGCCUUACCACACUAGUACUACGUUGUCAAUUAUAAAUAAUCACCUCCUGCAUAAUUAAGAUUGCCUCAGGUUGCUAAAAAACAUUUCAUAAAUAUCAUGGCUUGAUUGUAAGAGCAUCUUCAAUAGAAGAUGCAAAUUUAGAGAUGUGAAAACAGG